rnacentral:rRNA from 1 species
UACGUAGGGAGCAAGCGUUGUCCGGAUUUACUGGGUGUAAAGGGUGCGUAGGCGGCUUUGCAAGUCAGAAGUGAAAUCCAUGGGCUUAACCCAUGAACUGCUUUUGAAACUGCAGAGCUUGAGUGGAGUAGAGGUAGGCGGAAUUCCCGGUGUAGCGGUGAAAUGCGUAGAGAUCGGGAGGAACACCAGUGGCGAAGGCGGCUUGCUGGACGAUGACUGACGUUGAGGCUCGAAAGCGUGGGGAGCAAACAGG